rnacentral:rRNA from 1 species
GGGUUAGCCAUGCAUGUGUAAGCGAAGCUUUUAGUGGAGCGGCGCAAGGCUCAGUAACGGGCGUCUGAUUUGAUCUCUCGGAGUGGACAACCUCUGUAACCGGAGGCCAAAACACGGGAGGGGCAUGCAGUGGAGAUGCCCCGAGAACAUUAGUGAGAGAGAGUAAGGAGCCAUCCCAUCAGUUAGUAAGUAGGGUAAGGGCCUACUUAGACGAGGACGGGUACGGGGAAUUAGAGUUUGAUUCCGGAGAGGGAGCCUGAGAGACGGCUACCAGGUCCAAGGACAGCAGCAGGCGCGAAAAUUACCGAAGCCUGCAUUCAGGGCGGUAGUAAGGAAACGUGAAAACGAUGUGCAGGUAAAGAAUGCACUAGUAACAGGAGGUCAAGACUGGUGCCAGCAUCCGCGGUAAUACCAGCUCCUGGAGUGUCUAUGAUGAUUGCUGCAGUUAAAGAGUUCGUAGUCGGACUGCGUGACUGGCGUGAAAGACCCUUUUAUUCAUUCAAGGGGGGCGCAGCGCCGGAAAAGCAGGGAAUAAGGAGCGGCCGGGGCACAGGUUAUUAAGCGACGAGAGGUGAAAUUUGAUGACUCGCUUAGGAGCAACAGAGGCGAAAGCGCUGUGCAGGGGCGAUUCCGAUGAUAAAGGACGUAGGCUAGAGGAUCGAAGAUGAUUAGAGACCGUUGUAGUUCUAGCAGUAAACGAUGCCGAUGCCGUGGGGCAGUUCUUAGACUGCGCCGCGGAAGAGAAAUUGAGUAGGGCCCUGGGGAGAGUACACGCGCAAGCGAGAAAUUUAAAGGAAAUU